AUACGUAGGGUGCAAGCGUUAAUCGGAAUUACUGGGCGUAAAGCGUGCGCAGGCGGUUUUGUAAGACAGUGGUGAAAUCCCCGGGCUCAACCUGGGAACUGCCAUUGUGACUGCAAGGCUGGAGUGCGGCAGAGGGGGGUGGAAUUCCGCGUGUAGCAGUGAAAUGCGUAGAUAUGCGGAGGAACACCGAUGGCGAAGGCAAUCCCCUGGGCCUGCACUGACGCUCAUGCACGAAAGCGCGGGGAGCAAACAGGAUUAGAUACCCUGGUAGUCCACGCCCUAAACGAUGUCAACUGGUUGUUGGGGAUUUAUUUUCUCAGUAACGAAGCUAACGCGUGAAGUUGACCGCCUGGGGAGUACGGCCGCAAGGUUAAAACUCAAAUGAAUUGACGGGG
rnacentral:rRNA from 1 species